rnacentral:rRNA from 1 species
UACGUAGGGGGCAAGCGUUGUCCGGAAUCAUUGGGCGUAAAGAGCGUGUAGGCGGCCCGGUAAGUCCGCUGUGAAAGUCCAGGGCUCAACCCUGGGAUGCCGGUGGAUACUGUCGGGCUCGAGUCCGGAAGAGGAGUGUGGAAUUCCUGGUGUAGCGGUGAAAUGCGUAGAUAUCGGAAGGAACAUCAGUGGCGAAAGCGGCUUCCUGGACCAGCACCGACGUUCAGGCACGAAAGCGUGGGGAGCAAACAGG